rnacentral:rRNA from 1 species
AUUGAACGCUAGCGGGAUGCUUUACACAUGCGAGUCGAACGGCAGCGCGGACUUCGGUCUGGCGGCGAGUGGCGAACGGGUGAGUAAUGUAUCGGAACGUGCCCAGUAGCGGGGGAUAACUACGCGAAAGCGUAGCUAAUACCGCAUACGCCCUACGGGGGAAAGCAGGGGAUCGUAAGACCUUGCACUAUUGGAGCGGCCGAUAUCGGACUAGCUAGUUGGUGAGGUAACGGCUCACCAAGGCGACGAUCCGUAGCUGGUUUGAGAGGACGACCAGCCACACUGGGACUGAGACACGGCCCAGACUCCUACGGGAGGCAGCAGUGGGGAAUUUUGGACAAUGGGGGCAACCCUGAUCCAGCCAUCCCGCGUGUGCGAUGAAGGCCUUCGGGUUGUAAAGCACUUUUGGCAGGAAAGAAACGUCGCGGGCUAAUACCCCGUGGAACUGACGGUACCUGCAGAAUAAGCACCGGCUAACUACGUG